GACGAACGCUGGCGGCGUGCUUAACACAUGCAAGUCGAACGGAAAGGCCCUGCUUUUGUGGGGUGCUCGAGUGGCGAACGGGUGAGUAACACGUGAGUAACCUGCCCUUGACUUUGGGAUAACUUCAGGAAACUGGGGCUAAUACCGGAUAGGAGCUCCUGCUGCAUGGUGGGGGUUGGAAAGUUUCGGCGGUUGGGGAUGGACUCGCGGCUUAUCAGCUUGUUGGUGGGGUAGUGGCUUACCAAGGCUUUGACGGGUAGCCGGCCUGAGAGGGUGACCGGCCACAUUGGGACUGAGAUACGGCCCAGACUCCUACGGGGGGCAGCAGUGGGGAAUAUUGCACAAUGGGCGGAAGCCUGAUGCAGCAACGCCGCGUGCGGGAUGACGGCCUUCGGGUUGUAAACCGCUUUCGCCUGUGACGAAGCGUGAGUGACGGUAAUGGGUAAAGAAGCACCGGCUAACUACGUGCCAGCAGCCGCGGUGAUACGUAGGGUGCGAGCGUUGUCCGGAUUUAUUGGGCGUAAAGGGCUCGUAGGUGGUUGAUCGCGUCGGAAGUGUAAUCUUGGGGCUUAACCCUGAGCGUGCUUUCGAUACGGGUUGACUUGAGGAAGGUAGGGGAGAAUGGAAUUCCUGGUGGAGCGGUGGAAUGCGCAGAUAUCAGGAGGAACACCAGUGGCGAAGGCGGUUCUCUGGGCCUUUCCUGACGCUGAGGAGCGAAAGCGUGGGGAGCGAACAGGCUUAGAUACCCUGGUAGUCCACGCUGUAAACGGUGGGUACUAGGUGUGGGGUCCAUUCCACGGGUUCCGUGCCGUAGCUAACGCUUUGAGUACCCCGCCUGGGGAGUACGGCCGCAAGGCUAAAACUCAAAGGAAUUGACGGGGCCCCGCACAAGCGGCGGAGCAUGCGGAUUAAUUCGAUGCAACGCGUAGAACCUUACCUGGGUUUGACAUGGAUCGGGAGUGCUCAGAGAUGGGUGUGCCUCUUUUGGGGUCGGUUCACAGGUGGUGCAUGCCUGUCGUCAGCUCGUGUCGUGAGAUGUUGGGUUAAGUCCCGCAACGAGCGCAACCCUUGUUCACUGUUGCCAGCACGUUAUGGUGGGGACUCAGUGGAGACCGCCGGGGUCAACUCGGAGGAAGGUGGGGAUGACGUCAAGUCAUCAUGCCCCUUAUGUCCAGGGCUUCACGCAUGCUACAAUGGCUGGUACAGAGAGUGGCGAGCCUGUGAGGGUGAGCGAAUCUCGGAAAGCCGGUCUCAGUUCGGAUUGGGGUCUGCAACUCGACCUCAUGAAGUCGGAGUCGCUAGUAAUCGCAGAUCAGCAACGCUGCGGUGAAUACGUUCCCGGGGCU
rnacentral:rRNA from 1 species